rnacentral:siRNA from 1 species
UGCGAUAAUUAGUCUCCUUGGAAC